rnacentral:rRNA from 1 species
ACCGAGCGGCGAACGGGUGAGUAACACGUGGGUGAUCUGCCUCGUACUCUGGGAUAAGCCUGGGAAACUGGGUCUAAUACCGGAUAUGACCACGAGUCGCAUGGUUUGUGGUGGAAAGAUUUAUCGGUGCGAGAUGGGCCCGCGGCCUAUCAGCUUGUUGGUGGGGUAAUGGCCUACCAAGGCGACGACGGGUAGCCGGCCUGAGAGGGCGACCGGCCACACUGGGACUGAGACACGGCCCAGACUCCUACGGGAGGCAGCAGUGGGGAAUAUUGCACAAUGGGCGGAAGCCUGAUGCAGCGACGCCGCGUGCGGGAUGACGGCCUUCGGGUUGUAAACCGCUUUCGACAGGGACGAAGCGUGAGUGACGGUACCUGUAGAAGAAGCACCGGCCAACUACGUGCCAGCAGCCGCGGUAAUACGUAGGGUGCGAGCGUUGUCCGGAAUUACUGGGCGUAAAGAGCUUGUAGGCGGUUUGUCGCGUCGUUCGUGAAAACUUGGGGCUCAACCCCAAGCUUGCGGGCGAUACGGGCAGACUAGAGUACUGCAAGG